AAAGAGGUCAACAAAAUUAGUUGGGAUCUACAAAAUCUCGCCCUAAAUCUACGCCUGUACACGCUAGGUUUACUUCAAACUCCUCUCACAAUAUCCCGCCACAAACCUACACUAAAACCACAUCAUAAGACCAUAAAGCUUCCAAAGAUGACAUGGAUUUAUCUCCUGGAGAAAUUUUCUUUGAUUAAAAAUGGAAUCAAAACCGUCCCCCCUUGUAUUCCAAAUUUCCCGACCGCCGUACAGACACACUCUCCGAAACAGAAUCGAACAGAGUGCCCCAACGGGAGGAAGGGGACGAGUACUUAUACACGAACUACCAGUGUCAGACAUAUUGAGAUCAUCAUAAACGACACAAUACAUGCGAUAGCAGUGUCGUCUGACCUACGGCUCCAAAAAUCGACACUGCUAAAAGAUAUUAGUUUUGGUUAUGCUUGACGUUAGCACGAUCAACACUGAUAUGUUCAUUAUGUGUGUCGAUUUUUGUUAGAACACGUUUGUCCGACACUUUAGUGUUUCUUUCAAGUAAUAGGAUGUGGAUGAAGUAAACAAUGAUCGACACUGGUGUCGUUUUCUGUAGUAUUGGUUGCUCGUGACGUCUUCUGCGACUGACGCUAUUAAAUAAUGUUAGCAAUUAGUGUCGUUUUGUAGGAUGAUGUCACCUGCAUCUGACAAUGUUGCUGUCACAAUAGUGUCGGAUCGUAACGUUGGGGGCCACCGGGACUUGUUAGUGUCGGCUGUUAUGUUGGACCGACAUUGUUAUAAUUUUUUGAGUGGCACAGUAGGCUCAUUUUGUAGUAGUGCACGCUUGGCCGUACUCAUAACCGCAUCAGGUCUCCAAGGUGAACAGCCUCUGGCCAAUGGAACAAUGUAGGCAAGGGAAGUUGGCAAAAGGGAUCCAUAACUUCGGGAAAAGGAUUGGCUCUAAGGACUGGGCUCGGGGGUCCUGGCCCUGAACUCGUUGACGGUUGGCGGCCUACUUGAGCUGCUCACGAGGUGAGACCAGGCCACCGCGUGCUGGCUGGGGGACGGACCGGGAAACGUUCCCUCGAGGGCCUUCCCUGAGCGUCGAACAGUCAACUCAGAACUGGUACAGACAAGGAGAAUCUGACUGUUUAAUUAAAACAAAGCAUUGCGAUGGUCCCUACAGAUGCUGAUGCAAUGUGACUUCAGUCCAGUGCUCUGAAUGUCAAAGUGAAGAAAUUCAACCAAGUGCGAGUAAAUAGCAGAAGUAAUUAUGACUCUCUUAAGGUAGCCAAAUGUCUCGUCAUCUCAUUAGUGACGCGCAUGAAUGGAAUAAUGAGAUUCCCACUGUCCCUUUCUACAAUCCAGGAAAACCACAGCCAAGGGAACGGGCUUGGCGGAAUCAGCGGGGAAAGCAGACCCUGUUGAGCUUGACUUUAGUCUGAUUUUGCGAAAUGACUUGACAGGUGUCGGAUAAGUGGGAGCCUACGGGUGCAAGUGAAAUACCACUACUUUUAACGUUAUUUUACUUAUUCAGUUAGUCAGAAGCGGGGCAUCGCCGUCCUUUUGGCUCCAAGGCUCGCUUGCCGUGCUAUCCAGGCGGAAGACAUUAUCAGGUGGGGAGUUUGGCUGGGCGGUUCAUCUAUUAAAAGAUAACGCAGGUGUCCUAACAUGAGCUCAACGAGAACAGAAAUCUCGUGUGUAACAAAAGGGUAAAAGCUUGUUUAAUUCUGAUUUUCAGUACGAAUACAAACCGUGAAAGCGGGGCCUAUAGAUCCUUUAGGCCUUUGGGGUUUGAAGCUAGAGGUGUCAGAAAAGUUACCACAGGGAUAACUAGCUUGUGGCAGGCUAGCGUUCAAAGCGACGUUGCUUUUUGAUCCUUUGAUGUCGGCUCUUCCUAUCAUUGUGAAGCAGAAUUCACCAAGUGGCGCCUUCGCUUGCCGCUUGACCCGAUCCAUGUUAGGGUGCUCGCACCCCAAGGGCCUGUGCCAUUGGCAAAGCCUUCCCAGUCGAUGUGCUGUGGUUGCCUGCCUCGAAGCUUCCUUCGCAACGAACAGCAGGCUCAAUCAUCUGCAGACGACUUAAAUACGCGACGGGGCAUUGUAUGUGGCAGAGUGGCCUUGCUGCCAUGAUCCACUGAGAUCCAGCCCCCCGUCGCAAUGAUUCGU
rnacentral:rRNA from 1 species